rnacentral:rRNA from 1 species
AUUGAACGCUGGCGGCAUGCCUUACACAUGCAAGUCGAACGGCAGCACGGGUGCUUGCACCUGGUGGCGAGUGGCGAACGGGUGAGUAAUACAUCGGAACAUGUCCUGUAGUGGGGGAUAGCCCGGCGAAAGCCGGAUUAAUACCGCAUACGAUCCACGGAUGAAAGCGGGGGACCUUCGGGCCUCGCGCUAUAGGGUUGGCCGAUGGCUGAUUAGCUAGUUGGUGGGGUAAAGGCCUACCAAGACGACGAUCAGUAGCUGGUCUGAGAGGACGACCAGCCACACUGGGACUGAGACACGGCCCAGACUCCUACGGGAGGCAGCAGUGGGGAAUUUUGGACAAUGGGCGAAAGCCUGAUCCAGCAAUGCCGCGUGUGUGAAGAAGGACUUCGGGUUGUAAAGCACUUUUGUCCGGAAAGAAAUCCUUGACUCUAAUACAGUCGGGGGAUGACGGUACCGGAAGAAUAAGCACCGGCUAACUACGUG